AGUGGGGAAUUUUGCGCAAUGGGCUCACGCCUGAUGGAGCAACGCCGCGUGCAGGACGACGGCCUUCGGGUUGUAAACUGCUUUUGGGGGGGACGAUACGGACGGUACCCUCCGAACAAGCCACGGCUAACUCUGUGCCAGCAGCCGCGGUAAGACAGAGGUGGCAAGCGUUGUCCGGACUGACUGGGCGUAAAGCGCACGCAGGUGGCCGCGUACGUGCGGUGUGAAAGCCCCCGGCUUAACCGGGGGUCGCCAUCGCAGAUUGCGCAGCUCGAGCCAUGCAGAGGUCGGUGGAAUUGCCGGUGUAGUGGUGAAAUGCGUAGAGAUCGGCAGGAACACCAAGGGCGAAAGCAGCCGACUGGGCAUGGGCUGACACUCAGGUGCGACAGCGUGGGGAGCGAACUGGAUUAGAUACCCAGGUAGUCCACGCCGUAAACGAUGGAUGCUCGGCCUCGGGCGGCUAUUGACGUCGUUCGGGGCCCCAGCUUACGCGCAAGCAUCCCGCCUGGGAACUACGGCCGCAAGGCUAAAACUCAAA
rnacentral:rRNA from 1 species